GAAUGCUGCCAUUUGAUCUGCUCCCUUCUGCAGCAAAAGCCAGAACGUCGGAUUGAUCUGGACUGGAUUGUUUACCAUGACUGGUUUUAGUCUAAACAGCCCAAGGCCCUUCCCCAAAACAUCGAGCUAUCAAUCCAGUGAUGGACAUUAUUAAGCUGCUGGACUGGAAGGACCAUCAGGACGUCUAGUUUUUCACUCGUCCAGCGUUUAUCACACUGCAUGGAUGCGUUCCACUUUGUGUAACACAAUCAAAGGCAGCUUUGAGCAUCCUCUUGUUCAGAAUGCUGUGUGGAUAUAUUCUAGAUAGUUUCAACAUCUACAGGACCAACAUGAACACCUGGUCCAAACCUGGCUUGACAGAAGGUGAGUUCUUCUCCACAAAAUGCUGCCAUUUGAUCUGCUCCCUUCUGCAACAAAAGCCAGAACUUCAGCUUGAUCUGGACAGGAUUAUUCAUCAUGACUGGUU